UACGGGGGGGGCUAGCGUUGUUCGGAAUUACUGGGCGUAAAGGGCGCGUAGGCGGUCUGCUAAGUUGGAUGUGAAAACUCUGGGCUUAACCCAGAGCCUGCAUUCAAUACUGACAGGCUAGAGUUCUGGAGGGGAUAGCGGAAUUCCUGGUGUAGCGGUGGAAUGCGCAGAUAUCAGGAGGAACACCGGUGGCGAAGGCGGGCCUCUGGGCAGUAACUGACGCUGAGGAGCGAAAGCGUGGGGAGCGAACAGG
rnacentral:rRNA from 1 species